CCUUGUUGCUUCGGCGAGCCUGCCUUUUGGCUGCCGGGGGACGUCAGUCCCCGGGUCCGUGCUCGCCGGAGACACCUUAGAACUCUGUCUGAAGAUUGUAGUCUGAGAUUAAAUAUAAAUUAUUUAAAACUUUCAACAACGGAUCUCUUGGUUCCGGCAUCGAUGAAGAACGCAGCGAAAUGCGAUACGUAAUGUGAAUUGCAGAAUUCAGUGAAUCAUCGAGUCUUUGAACGCACAUUGCGCCCUCUGGUAUUCCGGAGGGCAUGCCUGUCCGAGCGUCAUUGCUGCCCUCAAGCACGGCUUGUGUGUUGGGCCCCGUCCUCCUUCCGGGGGACGGGUCCGAAAGGCAGCGGCGGCACCGCGUCCGGUCCUCAAGCGUAUGGGGCUUUGUCACUCGCUUUGUAGGCCUGGCCGGCGCUUGCCGAUCAACCAAACUUUUUAUCAGGUUGACCUCGGAUCAGGUAGGGAUACCCGCUGAACUUAAGCAUAUCAAUAAGCGGAG
rnacentral:rRNA from 1 species